GAUGAACGCUGGCGGCGUGCCUAAUACAUGCAAGUCGAGCGAAUGGAUUAAGAGCUUGCUCUUAUGAAGUUAGCGGCGGACGGGUGAGUAACACGUGGGUAACCUGCCCAUAAGACUGGGAUAACUCCGGGAAACCGGGGCUAAUACCGGAUAACAUUUUGAACCGCAUGGUUCGAAAUUGAAAGGCGGCUUCGGCUGUCACUUAUGGAUGGACCCGCGUCGCAUUAGCUAGUUGGUGAGGUAACGGAUCACCAAGGCAACGAUGCGUAGCCGACCUGAGAGGGUGAUCGGCCACACUGGGGCUGGGACACGGCCCAGACUCCUACGGGAGGCAGCAGUAGGGAAUCUUCCGCAAUGGACGAAAGUCUGACGGAGCAACGCCGCGUGAGUGAUGAAGGCUUUCGGGUCGUAAAACUCUGUUGUUAGGGAAGAACAAGUGCUAGUUGAAUAAGCUGGCACCUUGACGGUACCUAACCAGAAAGCCACGGCUAACUACGUGCCAGCAGCCGCCGUAA
rnacentral:rRNA from 1 species